CUUUCUAUUUCCCAGAUGUGGAUCAACCCAUGUGCUCAGGUCAUUUUUGAUUCAGACCCAGCCCCCAAGGACACAAGUGGAGCAGCUGCAUUAGAGAUGAUGUCUCAGGCCAUGAUCAGGUCAGCGGUCCUGUUUUCUAUCUUUUUUUGUUGUUGUUGUUCUUUUUUUCCGGAGCUGGGGACUGAACCCAGGGCCUUGCGCUUCCUAGGCAAGCGCUCUACCACUGAGCUAAAUCCCCAGCCCCGUUUUCUAUCUUGAUGUGCUCCUUGUUGCCUCUCCUGUAUUUGUGUUUUUGACAUAGGUUAUGGUUCCGUUGCCCAGGCUGACCUCUAGGCUCCUUGCAUUCCUCUUGCCUCAAUCUCUGGAAUGUUGAAUGUACAGGCAUGUGUCACCACACCCAGCUUUGUUACUUUGCUUUUGACCUUUACUCUCUUUUCCCCCAAACCAGGGGCAUGAUGGAUGAGGAAGGGAACCAGUUUGUGGCUUAUUUUCUGCCUGUGGAAGAGACACUAAAAAAACGAAAGCGGGACCAAGAGGAAGAGAUGGACUAUGCACCAGAUGAUGUGUAUGACUACAAGAUUGCUCGAGAAUAUAACUGGAAUGUGAAGAACAAGGCCAGUAAGGGCUACGAGGAAAACUACUUCUUCAUCUUCAGAGAGGGUGAUGGUGUCUACUAC
rnacentral:lncRNA from 1 species